ensembl:lncRNA
CCUGGCUCCGUACGCUUCUGUAAAGUUUUCAGAAAUUCUUUAUGGCAUGUAGAGAGGAAGAUGCAUGGUAUUAUGUGCCCUGGGCAAGAGGUGGCUCUGUAUCCCUCACAGCAGCACAUUUCUUACGGCGUUUUGAGUAUAUCUGCUUUUAAUACAGUCAGAGUGCAAGGGGGUGGUUUGACAUUAUUUUCUUGCCAGCUUAGGGAUAAUACCACAACAUAAGUAUGGACAGGAUUUAAAAUGACAUAAGUGUACCAGUGUAAAUCCAGUUUGUAAAAUCUCUAAUUUUUAUAAUUUUGCUGGUUUUAUUUUAUUUUCAAUUUAAAUGUAAAAUACAAAACUAUGAGACAAACCCCAAACUCAACCAUUCUUACUCCAUUAUGAGAGCAUUCAUAUGAGGGGUUAUGACAGUGAUAUAUAUGUUGUAAGUAAAAAGAACGAUGUUUCACAACACAGACACGCCCUUAGAGACAAUCAUUUUAUAGCUUAACGAGCCUUUCCUGCUUUUCUGAAUAUGGCAAAACCCUGCUGCUCUGCUUAGGGGAAUCCUGAUUUUUACCCCUAUCCAGUUUAUCUCUCUAUUAAAAUAUGGUUAUGCUGGGAUUUUCAUGCAUAACUUUGUCUUGAUGGCUGCUUUUCCUCUGUCAGUACAACAAAUAGCUCUGCUAUGUUAGAUAUAUAGAAAUGAUAAAAGCUGAAGCCAGAGCAAGGGACGUGGUUCUGUGAGAUAAAAGAAUGAUGCUGUUUCAGCUGACCUCAGAUUUCUGUAGAAUCUAUGUUUCAUUUUGUAACGAAAGUACUAAGCCAUGGCUUGAAACAGUGAUUGAGCACCUGGUGGGAUGACAGGGCCAACCCAGGUGUGCUCAGGUGCAUGCAAUGCAGCUGACUGACUGGAAGAGGUGGAGCCAGGAUUCAUCCCUUCCUGGACCUCAUUUAAGGGUUGGCAGUGAAAGCAGGUUGAUCUUGUUAGGGAUCUUAGUGUUUGCCUGAGGCCUUUUGAAUGUAGGAAUAUUCUUUCCUUUGUUUCUGUGCCUGUUGUUUUUCAGCAAGUUCUUACUUGCUGUAGCUUAGGACUUAGCUGCUCUGCUGCCAUUGCUGUGCUUUUUAUUGCAUUACAGUGUUAUAUGGUUACUAUGAUUUUUGAGGGCUACAACAGUUUGGAGCACAAGUUCAGUGUGAUGAGUAUAGCCUAGUAUGCUAUGCUGCUCACACUGAUUCAGCUGAGAGGUUUAAUUAUUCCUAAUUUUGUUAUAUUGUAAAACAGCAAUGUGAAGAGGUAUCUGUUGUGUUGAUGUUGCUUGAAAAGCUAAGGAACUGACCAAAAUAAGUUAUUGCAAAUAAUGUUUAUCUGGCUCUUAAAGCUCUUUAAUUACCCAGGACACCAAUGAGAACAAAUUGCAAGGUAGUGCUUUCCUGUUUUUCUUUAUUUUUCUUUCCAUGCAAGAAUGGGGUAAAUAACAGAUAGGAAAGGACAAAAUUCAGAUAGGAGCUCAGGAUUUUUCCUUAAAAUAUAUGCACAAACUUUAGACCACAGAGAAAUAGAACAGCAGCCAUAUUCUUCCUGCAACAGCAAGAACUUCACAGUGCUUGCUGCUUCAUGCUUUCCAACUUCCAUUCAAGUGGUGUGAUGAGAGAAAUCUCUAGCCAGCUUUUAAAGCAGAGUGAUGUAGGCUAUUGAAACAGCUUGCACUGCUAGUCUAAGUGAAGUUUUCACCAGCAGUAGAUGAGGAAGCAGUUGUAUGAAUCUAGCUCCACAAUAGGAGCAGACCCUGUGGCCAAAGAUGAAGUAGAAAGAAAGAGGGUGUCCAGGUAGCUCUGCAGAUGACUUUUUCUCCAGUGCACUUAUGGCUGAGCUGUUAACUAGUUGUUUCCUUUGUCUAGCGCUUCAUAAAUGUGACACAUCCAAAAUACAUGUGUGAAGAGUUCAUCCUACACAUGAUUUAGGGAAGUACUGAAAAAAAAGUCUAGUCUUAACCAACAAGCAAGUUGGUCUAUGGUCAUGAGAAGUGGGAGAGCAGUCUUCCAGUGGCUCAUCUGAUAUGAAUCACCACCUUAGUUAAUCACUUAGCUAGGAUUCCUGAGGAAUUAUAUACCCAUUCAUAUUGCUCUGUUUCUGAGAGAGAAGAUUAUAGGAGCUGGGCUGAAGUAUCUUAUCAGCACCAAUCAGAUGCUGCUUAUGCUGGAUUUAAGACUAUACUGGUGCUGUCCUUGUUCCCUUUAUAGUAAUUGCUCUUCUAUUUGAUGGCAAUCAAAUGUCCACAGUGACAUUAAAGUGUUUGCUAUGAGAUUAUUUAGAAAUAGCUCUUUUCCUUUUUGAAAAGAUCCAUAUAUAUCACAAAAUGAAUGCCUUGUCCAUCUAUUGCUGCUGGAAUAGUUGGUGAAAUCAGCAGUAUAUCUCUGUUCUACUUUCAUCCCUCUUAUACAACAG